rnacentral:sRNA from 1 species
UCCUUUGGACCUCAUGCCGGAAAAUUGGUCGCGAUUGUAGAUGUUAUUGAUCAGAACAGGGCUUUGGUCGAUGGACCUUGCACUCAAGUGAGGAGACAGGCCAUGCCUUUCAAGUGCAUGCAGCUCACUGAUUUCAUCCUCAAGUUUCCGCACAGUGCCCGCCAGAAGUAUGUCCGACAAGCCUGGCAGAAGGCAGACAUCAAUACAAAAUGGGCAGCCACACGAUGGGCCAAGAAGAUUGAAGCCAGAGAAAGGGUAAUAACUUAGGGUCAUUUGAAUUCUGGUCCUUUCUUUUUUUGGAGGGUUCAAGAUAGUGUGAGAGGGAUAAUUUUUAUUUAUUUAUUUAUUUUUAACAGAAAGCCAAGAUGACAGAUUUUGAUCGUUUUAAAGUUAUGAAGGCAAAGAAAAUGAGGAACAGAAUAAUCAAGAAUGAAGUUAAGAAGCUUCAAAAGGCAGCUCUCCUGAAAGCUUCUCCCAAAAAAGCACCUGGUACUAAGGGUACUGCUGCUGCUGCUGCUGCUAAAGUUCCAGCAAAAAAGAUCACCGCCACGAGUAAAAAGGCUCCAGCCCAGAAGGUUCCUGCCCAGAAAGC